UAUUUUUGUGAAAAUAAAUUUGGUUACACUGGAUUAAACCCAUUUUUAUUAUGGAUCGAUAAAUUCACUGAGAGGGAGAGGGAGAGGGAGAGGGAGAGAGAGUAUGCGGUUGAUCAGCAGAGGAAGGAAUUUGAUGGGUUUUCACUGUCGCUGGAAUUUAUCUCAGUGGCUCAGUGCCAUGGUAACAAACAGUGCAAUUCGUGUAAAGCAAAUGUUGGAAGAAAAGCCUGGUUUCUGCCUUUUGGCUGAGUUUCCUCCUGAAGGAAGGCUGGUUUGAUCAUUUACGUGUGUACAAUUAUUAUGUCAAAGGAACCUGGAAAUAUCUCUAUAACAUAUUUUUGGAAUUUGUUGGCUUUUUUUCCAGUUUCAUUGACAUUUAAUUAAUGGUUGGCAGUGAAGCAUACAGUUAUUUUGAGCUCACCUUCACAGCCAAGCAGUCACACAUCAGAUGGAAGUGGGACACUGCUCUCAAGUUCAACAGAAAGUUGCUAUAAUAGCGAUCAGGGUAGUGGCAAUGAGGAUGGCCGAGAAGCCAGCUACAUAAUAUAUGAGGAGAGUUCAGAUGAAGUGGACUUUCUGGUUGGCUGAAAAAGCACCUUGUAAGCAAGAUCCGGAGUUUUGAGGUUGAUUUCUCUCUCUCUCUCUCUCUGUAGGUGUAAUGUAUCGGGUGAUUACAAGAAAUUUAGGUUCUUGUUGGUUUCCCCAAGUUUUUCAUUCGUUGGUUUGUUAUUGCAUGGCUUCACUGAUUAUGGGUUGCAUGAUUGUUUUUUCCUCGUGUGACUUUUUCAUAUGAAGCCAUAGCAAUGUCCUCCGCAAUACCAAUGUAGCAAUUCUGCUGCAUUUGGACGUUAAAGAACAACAUUGGUGUUCGUUGACAUUCUUAAACUUGUCCAAUGAUCCUUUACAGCCGAACUAAGCUAGGAAUCCCCUGGCAUAUAUAUGAUCCUCUCCCUCGACAGUUGUUAUCAUGGCUUUGCUUCACACUUGUUUUUUUGAGUUCAUCUGGUCCUUGGUUAGUAGUGGAGAUUUCUUACAUAUUAACCAACUCAUCUCCUGCACACCAGGUUAUUAUACCAUUUUGCCUCUAUACCUUUGUUCCAUGCAAUUCCAGCAAAAGGAUCACACAAAAGUCUCUCGUGGUUGAAAUUACACAGGAACAGAGGUAUAAAGGCAUUUUCGGGUCAGGUUAUUUGAGCUCCAUUUCCUUGGUUAUUAUCUCCAUGGUGUAUCAAUGUCACAAGAAACUCAAGAAGUUUGAUCCGAUGAUUCCUUAAAAGCUAUGGCUUAUACUGUUUCUUUCUUCUUUGAUUUGUUUUUAGGAGGAAACCAUGGUUUAUACUAAUAUAAUUGAAAUCCUGGACCUAGAUAUCAUCAUCCCAUGAGAGAGCCGGUAUCUCUAAAUUUCAUUUUGUUAGUAACACGAUACUUGCUCAUGGUAUCUAGAGUUAACGACAUAAAUGUGGUAAUUGGAUGCUUGAAAAUUUUGCUACGCCUAUCACUUUUUUAUAUUUGAAAGUAUUAAAGCACCAUAUCAUUGUAUUGAAAGAAAGUCUUGGAUCUCCCCCAACCAAGAGAUGGGGAAUUCCUUCCUGUAGGAUUCAUGAAUCUUAUUUUGUUUUUACCUUUUAGUUUGAGGAAGGCAUUGUUUUGUUAAUUGCUUUGUAUGUCGGCCUAUUAUGCAUGGACGGGACACGAGAAUUCUAAAAAAAUGGAGACACGGACACGGCGGGGGACACGCCACAUGUAUAUUUAUUUAUUCAUUUGUUUUUUAAUUUUUUCCCAAUUUUAAAUGGCAAAAUGUGGACAAAAUGAAAAAAUUCAUAAUUCUAAUACCAUUCAAACAAAACAAGACAUCCAUAAAUUCAAUACAACCCUAUUGAAAAAUUACAAUUUGAUCCUUGAAAUUUUUAAAAAAUUCUAAUUUGGCCCCCAAAAUUUUUAAAAAAUUACAGUUUGACCCCUAAUUUUUUUAAAAGUAUUUCACUUUAACGCCCACCGUGUUCCCAUCGGUGUCCCCGCCGUGUCGUGUCCCAUACGUGUCCCCAUGUCCGACAAUGCAAUACGUCGACCUCUAGAUGUGUCGGUACUUCAUUGAUGUCGGCCCUUAUGUGUUAAUUCUGUCUGCCAUGUAGCAUGAUUAGAUUCUAAUUAUGUGACUUGUACAUGAAGCUAAAAUAGUGUUCUUCUCAAUACCAGUUCAGCAUAUAUGUUGCAACUGGAUGUUAAGGGAACAACAUUUUUUUCUGACUGCAAAUCUCUUAUUUGUGUAUGGAACCUGCAACUUAACAAGUUUGAGUGCAUGAUUUUAUAAACUAUGGCUAAUACUUUCUUUUUGUUUUUGGUUGCAAAGUUAUCCCUGAUUAUUGGUGAAUAUAGGGAUUCUCGGUCUCUAUUGGGCCAAAGACUUAUGGCUCAUGGCCUUUCAGGGAAAGGAAAAACUUUUGGUCUAUGAUUCCGGGUUUUUGUUUGUUUGUUUUAGAAGAGCGCUAGAACAUCAGUCUGGUAGGUUCAAGAUGAGUUAAGAACAAGAACAACUAAAAGCUGAUAAUUGUGUUGUUGAGGGACUUGGUGAAGAUUUAGGCAUGGGUAAUAAACACAACAUUUCAUGGCUUAGACAUUUGUUGUCCUUGUUUGACUCACCUCUCUCUGAUACAUAACACUUCAAGUCUGAUGCUUAGAACACUUUUUGCUGUUACCACUUACCAGUGGAUGAAUGCGUGCGCCCAAUUACAAUUGUCCAACUCAUACAUAAAUGUACAAGAGAGGAUGCAUUUGAAAUUAGUCUAUGUGAGAGA